rnacentral:misc_RNA from 1 species
AAAGAAAGAGGGAGGAGAAUAGAGAUUAAAACCUUAAAAUGACUUUUACAUCCCAAAAAUAGAAAUUAAAUAAAUUAACCUACAACUAUUAUAAGGUUAUAAGCCAUUUAACUUCAUGCAAGAGGCCUUGAAUUCCAAAUUUUCAUUUUUGUCAACCAAAAAUCUUUUUGCACACCUUCCUUCUUUGCAAUUUUGCUUUUG